GUGAAAUUUAUAUAAAAUGUUAAUAUUUCUAUAAUAAUUUGUUGGAAUUAAAAAAUUUAGGACAAAGACCAGGAUUAGAUACCCUGUUAUUCUAAAUAAUGAAUAAAAAUGGGGUAGUAAAAGUUGUUCUUCAAACCCAAAGAUUUUGGCGGCAUUUUAACCAAAUAGAGGAGCUUGCCCCAUAAUCGAUAGACCUCGUUUUAUCUUGCCUUUAAUUGUGUAGCUUGUAUACCGCCGUUGUCAGAUUACUCUAGAAGGAUGUUUUCAAGAAAAAUAGUUUUUUAACUUCAGGUCAAGGUGCAGUUUAUGUAGAGGUGGAGGUGAGCUACAAUUUUUUUAAAAAGUACGGAUGUUUAAUUUAAAAAUUAAUUGAAGGUGGAUUUAUUAGUAAGUUAGUUUAAGUAAA
rnacentral:rRNA from 1 species